CGAAGGGUGCUAGCGUUGUUCGGAAUCACUGGGCGUAAAGCGCGCGUAGGCGGCUUCUCAAGUCAGGGGUGAAAUCCUAAGGCUCAACCUUAGAAUUGCCUUUGAAACUGUGAAGCUGGAGUGUCGGAGGGGAUAGCGGAAUUGCUAAUGUAGCGGUGAAAUGCGUAGAUAUUAGCAGGAACACCGGUGGCGAAGGCGGCUAUCUGGACGACAACUGACGCUGAGGCGCGAAAGCGCGGGGAUCAAACAGGAUUAGAUACCCUGGUAGUCCGCGCUGUAAACGAUGGAUGCUAGCCGUUGGGGGGUUCCCCCUCAGUGGCGCAGCUAACGCGUUAAGCAUCCCGCCUGGGGAGUACGGUCGCAAGAUUA
rnacentral:rRNA from 1 species